rnacentral:rRNA from 1 species
GUAGGUGGCAAGCGUUGUCCGGGAAUUAUUGGGGCGUAAAGCGCGCGCAGGCGGUUCUUUAAGUCUGAUGUGAAAGCCCACGGGCUCAACCGUGGAGGGUCAUUGGAAACUGGAGAACUUGAGUACAGAAGAGGAAAGCGGAAUUCCACGUGUAGCGGUGAAAUGCGUAGAGAUGUGGAGGAACACCAGUGGCGAAGGCGGCUUUCUGGUCUGUAACUGACGCUGAGGCGCGAAAGCGUGGGGAGCAAACAGGAUUAGAUACCCUGGUAGUCCACGCCGUAAACGAUGAGUGCUAAGUGUUAGGGGGUAUCCGCCCCUUAGUGCUGCAGCUAACGCAUUAAGCACUCCGCCUGGGGAGUACGGCCGCAAAGGCUG